AACGAACGCUGGCGGCAUGCCUAACACAUGCCAGUCGAACGAGACCUUCGGGUCUAGUGGCGCACGGGUGCGUAACGCGUGGGAACCUGCCCUUAGGUUCGGAAUAACUCCCCGAAAGGGGUGCUAAUACCGGAUAAUGUCUUCGGACCAAAAAUUUAUCGCCUUUGGAUGGGCCCGCGUUGGAUUAGCUAGUUGGUAGGGUAAAAGCCUACCAAGGCGACGAUCCAUAGCUGGUCUGAGAGGAUGAUCAGCCACACUGGGACUGAGACACGGCCCAGACUCCUACGGGAGGCAGCAGUGGGGAAUAUUGGACAAUGGGCGAAAGCCUGAUCCAGCAAUGCCGCGUGAGUGAUGAAGGCCUUAGGGUUGUAAAGCUCUUUUACCCGGGAUGAUAAUGACAGUACCGGGAGAAUAAGCUCCGGCUAACUCCGUG
rnacentral:rRNA from 1 species